UUGUCAUGUCACAUGAUCUUGUGACCUGCGCUAGCCUAGCUUUACUUUGCGGUUCAGUGUUUGCAAACAAACAUUAGCCCGUUUGGUAAAAUACAUAGCACAAUUUUGUUAUUUUCCCACAGGUUCUUUAGCGAUUAGUCCCACCUGGCUAAGGUGCAAUGUCGUCGUGUGGACAAGGCGCAACCCAAACGAAGGUAGUUAAACCUCUUCGACCAUUUCGAAGACCAGCACCAUACCCCGUGAGAGAAGACUGGAUGAACGACCACAAGGACUCUGAGCGGUAGUUAACUUGAUUACCCCAAAUCGAUAGGUCACUGUUUGCAGGACCGCGGCCUCUCAGUGGAAAUGAUUUACCUGCAGGCGGAGUCGGGCCUGACCCGGGCCCUACAAGAUCUCCGCUCCGACGGUUCCCCCUUAUGUAUUCUCGUCCAACAGACCAAUGUAGCUCUGUCCUCGUGCACAGUAAUCGUAUUUUCAGAAUCCCUCAAAAGGAAGUCCCCACAGUCACCUGCCCCCUUUAAACAAAGCAAUUACAAUGCAUCUCUAAAAGAACAAUAAUACCCCAAACCAAACAUUCCUGAUAAUGAUUGUAAAUUGAGACAAUUUGAGGGCAAAGAACAUGACAUGUUUCCAUGGAGAUUUAGUUUCAUUCUGUGGUUGUCCUCAGAACUCAGUGGUUCACAGUUAAGACCGCCUCAUCAUCAAAGGCUCACACAUUAUACAAUCAUACAUAGCUUUAUUCACCAAAAUAUUAAUUUAGGUUUGAAAUAAUUCACAAACGCAUGCAGUAACAUUAGACGGGUAUAAAUUGCUUGGUAUAAAUCCCCAGGAAAUGUUAAACGAGCAAAGAGUGUGACAAUGACCAUUCUUAAAAUGUAUUUGGCUUAUACUGUUAUAAAUAGCUUCUUAAAGGUGUACUAUACAGCUUAGAAAUAUCUAAAAUAGCUCUCGAUUUACCUUUUUUAAUAAAAAUAUUUAGUGCAGGGACGUGAAGUCCUAUUAAAUUGUUGAAUGAGAAUCAUCCGUGUAAAAGGAAGAUCCUGUUUUGUAUACACUGAAUGUGGCCAGAACAUCCACUUACCAGUUGACAUGUAACUUUACAGCUUCAAACAAGGUUCCAAAAAAAUGAUGUAUUAUGCCACUUUCAUUUAGUGGUGCCAUUUUAUUUGAACAUAUAUCAUAUACAGUGCAUUCGGAAAAGUAUUCAGACGCAACGACUUUUUCCACAUUUUGUUACAUUUUACAGCCUUAAGCUAAAAUGGACUUAAUAUAUAUUUUUCCCCUCGAUCUACACACCAUACCCCAUAAUGACAAAGCGAAAACAGGUUUUUAGAAAUGCUGUGAGACUUAAAAUUGAACUCAGGUAUCGUGUUUCCUUUGAUCAUCCUUGAUGUUUCUACAACUGUCUAUAUAAGGUCCCACAGUUGAUAGUGCAUGUCAGAGCAAAAA